GCCGACAAGCGGCGAUAUGGUCCUGCAGCGACACCACGGCCUCGCCACGAGCACCCCCCACGCACCCACUCUUCGCUCGCCUGCUCCACAAGCCCAAAGCCCGGCCAGCCAUCUUUCUCCCUCUCUCCUUUUCAUUCUUUCUUCCGGUUCCUGUCGAAGAACACCAUGGCUGCCAGCCAUAGAAACCAAAUCCAUGAGCCUCCAGUCAUAGAAACCAAAUCGUCACCAUCUACACCUCCACAGCCUCACUAAUUCCCUUCUCCCCCACUUGUCCCCCUGAGAAGCGACCUCCAUGGCCAGAGAUUGAAGAUCCCGACCAUCAGACCGCCAUGGCCGAACCCUUCCACCCCUCACCGUCGAAGUCCCACCUCCGGCUAUCCUUCUCGUCAUCCAACCACAAAAAUCGAUUUCUGAUCCGAUAGCUACGGACAUCGUGUACGAGCUGAUUGCCGAGCCUCAAGACCAGCAGGCACCAUGUAAAGAGCAGCAGAUCUUAGAACAUUCAGAAGACCCGGCUCAAGGUUCGGAAGAGCCACGGGUUGAACAGCAGGAAGCCCUGCGGUCCCUUCGUCCGCCGUACAGCGGAUCAAGGGAGAGCGGUGUCUCCGAACCGGCGCCGGCGAUCUGAGGACCUGUACGGGUGCCGGCGAAUUAGGUUUCUGGGAAGUGCGCUCGCACGUCCGCUCGCGUCCUUCCUCUUUAUCGACGGUUUCUUCGCUGCAUCCGCGCAGGAUCCACUGUAAGUUAAGCCAGUAUUCCAUGCAUUUCUUUUAUGAUGAUCUCGUGGC